UACGUAGGGUGCAAGCGUUGUCCGGAAUUAUUGGGCGUAAAGGGCUCGUAGGCGGUCCAUCACGUCGGGAGUGAAAAGCUGGGGCUUAACCCCAGUCCUGCUUCCGAUACGGGUGGACUAGAGGUAGGUAGGGGAGAACGGAAUUCCUGGUGUAGCGGUGAAAUGCGCAGAUAUCAGGAGGAACACCGGUGGCGAAGGCGGUUCUCUGGGCCUUACCUGACGCUGAGGAGCGAAGGCGUGGGGAGCAAACAGG
rnacentral:rRNA from 1 species